UAGGAUUGCCACAUAUCAUUGGGAAAUAGUAUGUAGUGUUGAGAACCAUGUUUAAGUAGAGAGUUACAGCAGGAAAAGAGGUGUUACACUGCUUCAUAGAGGGGAGUGGGAGAGUUGGUAUUGACGGCGGCAAGAUUGUUGAUUUAGUUCGCCAUCAUGCUCCUUGCCCCGGCGGCACUCGGCGACACCGUGAGAGAGGGGGGGAGAGCCCCCUCCUCCUUCUUCUUCUUCCUUGGCCUCACCCUAGAUGGGAGGAGAGUUACCCCUCUAGUCCAUGGCCUUCAUGGCGGCAGAGGGGCAGGAGACCCUCCAAGAUUGAAGCUCCCUCUCUGUUCUCUUCUGUUUCACGUCCCUGGUUUCUGGCCCUUCACCGUUUCCUAAAUUCCCGAAGAUCCGUAACUCUGAUCGGGCUGAAAUAUUUACAUGAUUUUUUCCAUAAAUUAUCUUUCUU
rnacentral:lncRNA from 1 species